CCCUCAGCGCUGCCCGGCCCUGCGGCUCGGCGUCCUCCGGCCCGCCAGGCUUCCUCUGCUGCCCCAGGAAACUGAGUCUGUAGGAGCUUUAGUCCUUCACACCACCCAUGUUCUGGUCAGAAGAUGCAGAAAGACUGAGCAAGACCAAGCAGGAGGUAUUGUCCAGUAGUGCAUCAUUAGAAGAUGGAGAAGACAGAAGAGCAGACAAAUGUCUAGAGGAGCUAAAGCUUUCCUUUCCAAGUGCUGAAGCUCAUCCUGUUACACCAUGCUUGGUGGAAUCUCAGCUAAUAUCCAACUCUACAUUUUUGUGAGAGACACCAACACAAAGAGCCAAGAAGAAACACCAAGAGAAGACUUUUAAGUUUUAAGAGCAGGAAGUACUCACUCGUCCACUGAGCCAG